AGGCAGCAGUGAGGAUAUUGGUCAAUGGACGCGAGUCUGAACCAGCCAAGUAGCGUGAAGGAUGACUGCCCUAUGGGUUGUAAACUUCUUUUAUAUGGGAAUAAAGUGGUCCACGUGUGGACUUUUGUAUGUACCAUAUGAAUAAGGAUCGGCUAACUCCGUGCCAGCAGCCGCGGUAAUACGGAGGAUCCGAGCGUUAUCCGGAUUUAUUGGGUUUAAAGGGAGCGUAGGCGGAUUGUUAAGUCAGUUGUGAAAGUUUGCGGCUCAACCGUAAAAUUGCAGUUGAUACUGGCAGUCUUGAGUGCAGUAGAGGUGGGCGGAAUUCGUGGUGUAGCGGUGAAAUGCUUAGAUAUCACGA
rnacentral:rRNA from 1 species